rnacentral:rRNA from 1 species
UUGCUGCAGUGAGGAAUCUUGGGCAAUGGACGAAAGUCUGACGGAGCAACGCCGCGUGAGUGAUGAAGGUUUUCGGAUCGUAAAUUGCUGCAGUGGGGAAUAUUGGGCAAUGGGUGAAAGCCUGAUCCAGCAAUAUAGUUAGAGUGAAAAGCAAAAACAUAAAACUCUAAAGAAAAGUAAAAUAAUGAUAUGACUUUUCUAAUAAUCCUGACUAAUUUCGUGCCAGCAGUCGCGGUAAUACGAAAAGGAUAAGCGUAAUUCAUAUUAUCUAGGUGUAAAGGGUCAGUAGGCGGCAAAUAAAGCUAGAGUGUAAAAGAAGAAAGAGGAAUUAAAGAUGGAGGGAUGAAAUCCUUAGAUAUAUUUAGGAACAACAAUGGCGAAGGCAUCUUUCUAAUAAACACUGACGCUAAUAGACUAAAGUGUGGGUAGCGAAAAGGAUUAGAUACCCGAUUAGUCCACCAA